rnacentral:rRNA from 1 species
CCUACGGGUGGCAGCAGUGAGGAAUAUUGGUCAAUGGCCGGAAGGCUGAACCAGCCAAGUCGCGUGAGGGACGACUGCCCUAUGGGUGGUAAACCGCUUUUAUAAGGGAAGAAAAAAGGCUACGUGUAGCAUGAUGCCUGUACCUUAUGAAUAAGCAUCGGCUAACUCCGUGCCAGCAGCCGCGGUAAUACGGAGGAUGCGAGCGUUAUCCGGAUUUAUUGGGUUUAAAGGGUGCGUAGGCGGUUUUUUAAGUUCGUGGUUAAACGUCGGGGCUUCACCUUGAUUUGCCAUUCAUACUGUCAGACUCGAGUUCAGUCGAGGUAGGCGGAAUGCGUUCCGUAGCGGU